AGCGAACGCUGGCGGCAGGCCUAAUACAUGCGAGUCGAACGCCCCUUCGGGGGAGUGGCAGACGGGUGAGUAACGCGUGGGAACAUACCCUUUCCUGCGGAAUAGCUCUGGGAAACUGGAAUUAAUACCGCAUACGCCCUACGGGGGAAAGAUUUAUCGGGGAAGGAUUGGCCCGCGUUGGAUUAGCUAGUUGGUGGGGUAAAGGCCUACCAAGGCGACGAUCCAUAGCUGGUCUGAGAGGAUGAUCAGCCACAUUGGGACUGAGACACGGCCCAAACUCCUACGGGAGGCAGCAGUGGGGAAUAUUGGACAAUGGGCGCAAGCCUGAUCCAGCCAUGCCGCGCGAGUGAUGAAGGCCUUAGGGUUGUAAAGCUCUUUCACCGAUGAAGAUAUUGACGGUAGUCGGAGAAGAAGCCCCGGCUAACUUCGUGCCAGCAGCCGCGGUAAAAC
rnacentral:rRNA from 1 species